AUGGGCUGGCCUUUGGCGCGCUGCGUUCUGUUGGUUGGGGUUUUAGCUGCCGCGGCUGGUGCUUGGGGGUUUUGGUUUCUCCUCGUCAUCGUCAUCCCAAGCUCAGUGUUGGAAAUGGCUCUGCAAACUACCACCGCACUUCCCUAUCUCUUCUCCUCACCAAAACCCAACAACAAAUUCUUCAUGCUCCUUUCGUUGCCUCCUCAUUCCCAGCAAACCCAAGCUAAUCACAACAGAAUAUGGAUGAACACCGCUGCGAGUGUCCCAACACAUGUCCAUAGCUCCAACUUUACUAGAUUGUAUGCUCUAAACCGUAUACCAACAAGAGGGGGACUCCUCUGAUGAUGAUGAUGAACCUUCUUCCGGUAUCAAGGAUGAUCCCUAUUUCAUGGGUUCUCAAGAGAGACGUGAAUGGAGAAACACAAUUAGACGAGUUUUAGAUACCAACCCCGAUGUUAAGGAGGAGUUAGACCCUAGUGAAAGGACAAAGAAGGUGCAACAACUUCUGGCCAAUUAUCCUCUUGUUGUAGAGGAGGAGGAUCCUGAAUGGCCUGAGGAUGCGGAUGGCCGCGGUUUCAAGUUGGAUCAAUUCUUUGACAAGAUUACCAUCAAGAAUACGCCAAAGAAGGAUGACGAUGAGAAUGAUGACAGCGACAGUGAAGUAGUGUGGCAAGAUGAUAACUACAUUCGUCCCAUUAAAGAUGUAACAACUGCAGAAUGGGAAGAGACUGUUUUCAAGGACAUCAGCCCUUUAAUCAUUCUUGUACACAAUCGCUAUAGAAGACCGAAAGAGAAUGAAAGAAUCCGGAAUGAACUGGAGAAGGCUAUACACAUUAUAUGGAACUGCAGGCUACCUUCACCAAGGUGUAUUGCAGUUGAUGCUGUUACUGAGCAUGAUUUGGUAUCUGCUCUCCAAGUGUCUGUCUUCCCCGAGAUCAUCUUCACUAAAGCUGGGAAGAUCUUAUAUCGCGAGAAAGAAAUUCGAAGUGGAGAUGAGUUGUCAAAGGUGAUGGCUUUCUUUUACUAUGGAGCAGCCAGACCACCUUGUUUGAAUGGCAUUGGAGAUAGGCAGGAAGCAAUUCCAUAUGUUCCCGUCAGUUCCCAACCAUGAUAUUGGUUGUUGGCGAAGUUUUCCUCGUAACAAUAUUCGGGCUAAAAGCCAUAUAGUUUGGAACUCCUACAAUAUUGCCAUGACAAGUAGGCAUAGAGCAAGGCAAUGCCAAUACCUAUCCACGCUUGUAGCCAUAGCAUCUCUUCCUUGUCGCUCUCUUUCUCUCUAUGUAUAUAUAUUGUUGGUAACUCCUAACAAGACAUUAUAUUGUUAUGUAUAACAGCACUUUUUGCUUGUUCUUGAUGUUAUCAGAUGCCUUUGUUUUUAA